UAGGGAAUCUUCGGCAAUGGGGGCAACCCUGACCGAGCAACGCCGCGUGAGUGAAGAAGGUUUUCGGAUCGUAAAGCUCUGUUGUAAGAGAAGAACGUGUGUGAGAGUGGAAAGUUCACACAGUGACGGUAACUUACCAGAAAGGGACGGCUAACUACGUGCCAGCAGCCGCGGUAAUACGUAGGUCCCGAGCGUUGUCCGGAUUUAUUGGGCGUCAAGCGAGCGCAGGCGGUUUAAUAAGUCUGAAGUUAAAGGCAGUGGCUUAACCAUUGUUCGCUUUGGAAACUGUUAAACUUGAGUGCAGAAGGGGAGAGUGGAAUUCCAUGUGUAGCGGUGAAAUGCGUAGAUAUAUGGAGGAACACCGGUGGCGAAAGCGGCUCUCUGGUCUGUAACUGACGCUGAGGCUCGAAAGCGUGGGGAGCAAACAGG
rnacentral:rRNA from 1 species